UACGUAGGGACCGAGCGUUGUCCGGAAUCAUUGGGCGUAAAGAGCUCGUAGGCGGUUUGUCGCGUCUGCUGUGAAAUCCCGAGGCUCAACCUCGGGCCUGCAGUGGGUACGGGCAGACUGGAGUGCGGUAGGGGAGAAUGGAAUUCCUGGUGUAGCGGUGGAAUGCGCAGAUAUCAGGAGGAACACCGAUGGCGAAGGCAGUUCUCUGGGCCGUAACUGACGCUGAGGAGCGAAAGCGUGGGGGGCGAACAGG
rnacentral:rRNA from 1 species